rnacentral:rRNA from 1 species
GAUGAACGCUGGCGGCGUGCCUAAUACAUGCAAGUCGAGCGAACAGACAAGGAGCUUGCUCCUUUGACGUUAGCGGCGGACGGGUGAGUAACACGUGGGUAACCUACCUAUAAGACUGGGAUAACUUCGGGAAACCGGAGCUAAUACCGGAUAAUAUUUCGAACCGCAUGGUUCGAUAGUGAAAGAUGGUUUUGCUAUCACUUAUAGAUGGACCCGCGCCGUAUUAGCUAGUCGGUAAGGUAACGGCUUACCAAGGCGACGAUACGUAGCCGACCUGAGAGGGUGAUCGGCCACACUGGAACUGAGACACGGUCCAGACUCCUACGGGAGGCAGCAGUAGGGAAUCUUCCGCAAUGGGCGAAAGCCUGACGGAGCAACGCCGCGUGAGUGAUGAAGGUCUUCGGAUCGUAAAACUCUGUUAUUAGGGAAGAACAUACGUGUAAGUAACUAUGCACGUCUUGACGGUACCUAAUCAGAAAAGCCACGGCUUAACUACGUGCCAGCAGCCGCGGUAAUACGUAGGUGGCAAGCGUUAUCCGGAAUUAUUGGGCGUAAAGCGCGCGUAGGCGGUUUUUUAAGUCUGAUGUGAAAGCCCACGGCUCAACCGUGGAGGGUCAUUGGAAACUGUAAAACUUGAGUGCAGAAGAGGAAAGUGGAAUUCCAUGUGUAGCGGUGAAAUGCGCAGAGAUAUGGAGGAACACCAGUGGCGAAGGCGACUUUCUGGUCUGUAACUGACGCUGAUGUGCGAAAGCGUGGGGAUCAAACAGGAUUAGAUACCCUGGUAGUCCACGCCGUAAACGAUGAGUGCUAAGUGUUAGGGGGUUUCCGCCCCUUAGUGCUGCAGCUAACGCAUUAAGCACUCCGCCUGGGGAGUACGACCGCAAGGUUGAAACUCAAAGGAAUUGACGGGGACCCGCACAAGCGGUGGAGCAUGUGGUUUAAUUCGAAGCAACGCGAAGAACCUUACCAAAUCUUGACAUCCUUUGACAACUCUAGAGAUAGAGCCUUCCCCUUCGGGGGACAAAGUGACAGGUGGUGCAUGGUUGUCGUCAGCUCGUGUCGUGAGAUGUUGGGUUAAGUCCCGCAACGAGCGCAACCCUUAAGCUUAGUUGCCAUCAUUAAGUUGGGCACUCUAAGUUGACUGCCGGUGACAAACCGGAGGAAGGUGGGGAUGACGUCAAAUCAUCAUGCCCCUUAUGAUUUGGGCUACACACGUGCUACAAUGGACAAUACAAAGGGCAGCGAAACCGCGAGGUCAAGCAAAUCCCAUAAAGUUGUUCUCAGUUCGGAUUGUAGUCUGCAACUCGACUACAUGAAGCUGGAAUCGCUAGUAAUCGUAGAUCAGCAUGCUACGAUGAAUACGUUCCCGGGUCUUGUACACACCGCCCGUCACACCACGAGAGUUUGUAACACCCGAAGCCGGUGGAGUAACCAUUUGGAGCUAGCCGUCGAAGGUGGGACAAAUGAUUGGGGUGAAGUCGUAACAAGGUAGCCGUAUCGGAAGG